rnacentral:rRNA from 1 species
AAAACCCCGCAAGGGGUUAGUAGAGUGGCGAACGGGUGAGUNACACGUGGGUGACCUACCUUCGAAUGGGGGAUAACGUCCCGAAAGGGACGCUAAUACCGCAUAACAUCCUGCUUUUGAACAAGUGGAGAUCAAAGCCGGGGAUCGCAAGACCUGGCGUUUGAAGAGGGGCCCGCGUCUGAUUAGCUAGUUGGUGAGGUAACGGCUCACCAAGGCGACGAUCAGUAUCCGGCCUGAGAGGGCGGACGGACACACUGGGACUGAGACACGGCCCAGACUCCUACGGGAGGCAGCAGUGGGGAAUUGUUCGCAAUGGGCGCAAGCCUGACGACGCAACGCCGCGUGGAGGAUGAAGGUCUUCGGAUUGUAAACUCCUGUUGCCCGGGACGAAACGCUUCGACCUAACACGUCGGAGUUUGACGGUACCGGGUGAGGAAGCCCCGGCUAACUCUGUGCCAGCAGCCGCGGUAAUACAGAGGGGGCAAGCGUUGUUCGGAAUUACUGGGCGUAAAGGGCGCGUAGGCGGCCUUCUAAGUCGAACGUGAAAUCCCCGGGCUCAACCCGGGAACUGCGUCCGAUACUGGAAGGCUUGAAUCCGGGAGAGGGAUGCGGAAUUCCAGGUGUAGCGGUGAAAUGCGUAGAUAUCUGAGGAACACCGGUGGCGAAGGCGGCAUCCUGGACCGGCAUUGACGCUGAGGCGCGAAAGCCAGGGGAGCAAACGGGAUUAGAUACCCCGGUAGUCCUGGCCCUAAACGAUGAAUGCUUGGUGUGGCGGGUAUCGAUCCCUGCCGUGCCGAAGCUAACGCAUUAAGCAUUCCGCCUGGGGAGUACGGUCGCAAGGCUG